rnacentral:lncRNA from 1 species
CUGCGAAGACAAUGACCAAAAACUUUAGGAGAAACUGGUCUCUUCUUGGAAGACUGUAUGAUAUAGUAAUGAAUUUUCAUCAUUUUUCCUGAGUAACCGAUUCUUUUCUGUCAAUGAAAAUCAGAUCCAGAAGAGAAUUUUUUCUUGUUGUGUCCUCUACCUUUUGAAGGAUGAAAUUAUCAUUAAGGGGUCCAAAAACAGAGUCAGGAUCUGUUGUUGUUAGAUGUCCAAGCAAGUCCUGAUAUCCAACUGAGACAGAAUGCUGCCAGCAGCCAGAUACAGGAACUCUUCAACACUGGGAAAUCCUCUUCAGACCUUCCUCUAGACUUCCUCAAGAGACCAGAAGAAAAAGUCUGGUGGGGCAAGAUGGAGUUUUCCCAGUUCCUCCAGCUCAGGCU